rnacentral:rRNA from 1 species
AUGAACGCCGGCGGUGUGCCUAAUAUAUGCAAGUCGAACGCGUUGGCCCAAUUGAUUGACGGUGCUUGCACCUGAUUGAUUUUGGUCGCCAACGAGUGGCGGACGGGUGAGUAACACGUAGGUAACCUGCCCAGAAGCGGGGGACAACAUUUGGAAACAGAUGCUAAUACCGCAUAACAGCGUUGUUCGCAUGAACAACGCUUAAAAGAUGGCUUCUCGCUAUCACUUCUGGAUGGACCUGCGGUGCAUUAGCUUGUUGGUGGGGUAACGGCCUACCAAGGCGAUGAUGCAUAGCCGAGUUGAGAGACUGAUCGGCCACAAUGGGACUGAGACACGGCCCAUACUCCUACGGGAGGCAGCAGUAGGGAAUCUUCCACAAUGGGCGCAAGCCUGAUGGAGCAACACCGCGUGAGUGAAGAAGGGUUUCGGCUCGUAAAGCUCUGUUGUUAAAGAAGAACACGUAUGAGAGUAACUGUUCAUACGUUGACGGUAUUUAACCAGAAAGUCACGGCUAACUACGUGCCAGCAGCCGCGGUAAUACGUAGGUGGCAAGCGUUAUCCGGAUUUAUUGGGCGUAAAGAGAGUGCAGGCGGUUUUCUAAGUCUGAUGUGAAAGCCUUCGGCUUAACCGGAGAAGUGCAUCGGAAACUGGAUAACUUGAGUGCAGAAGAGGGUAGUGGAACUCCAUGUGUAGCGGUGGAAUGCGUAGAUAUAUGGAAGAACACCAGUGGCGAAGGCGGCUACCUGGUCUGCAACUGACGCUGAGACUCGAAAGCAUGGGUAGCGAACAGGAUUAGAUACCCUGGUAGUCCAUGCCGUAAACGAUGAGUGCUAGGUGUUGGAGGGUUUCCGCCCUUCAGUGCCGGAGCUAACGCAUUAAGCACUCCGCCUGGGGAGUACGACCGCAAGGUUGAAACUCAAAGGAAUUGACGGGGGCCCGCACAAGCGGUGGAGCAUGUGGUUUAAUUCGAAGCUACGCGAAGAACCUUACCAGGUCUUGACAUCUUGCGCCAACCCUAGAGAUAGGGCGUUUCCUUCGGGAACGCAAUGACAGGUGGUGCAUGGUCGUCGUCAGCUCGUGUCGUGAGAUGUUGGGUUAAGUCCCGCAACGAGCGCAACCCUUGUUACUAGUUGCCAGCAUUAAGUUGGGCACUCUAGUGAGACUGCCGGUGACAAACCGGAGGAAGGUGGGGACGACGUCAGAUCAUCAUGCCCCUUAUGACCUGGGCUACACACGUGCUACAAUGGACGGUACAACGAGUCGCGAACUCGCGAGGGCAAGCAAAUCUCUUAAAACCGUUCUCAGUUCGGACUGCAGGCUGCAACUCGCCUGCACGAAGUCGGAAUCGCUAGUAAUCGCGGAUCAGCAUGCCGCGGUGAAUACGUUCCCGGGCCUUGUACACACCGCCCGUCACACCACGAGAGUUUGUAACACCCGAAGUCGGUGAGGUAACCUUUUGGAGCCAGCCGCCUAAGGUGGGAUAGAUGAUUGGGGUG